rnacentral:sRNA from 1 species
UAUUAAGUUCAAAAUUUGGAGUAGAAAAAAACCAAUAGAAGAAUUCCAUUUUCCUUCCUCACUCAUCGGAGAGCUCUCUUUGGGGCUUUCCGAAAAGGUAUCACAUGCAAAGUUUGGCCUCACAGGCUAAAAGUUAUAGAGUCGUACAUUUUUAACAAAAAAAAAAAGAGAAAAGCCGAAAAAAAGAAGGAUGCAACACAAGGACUUUCCGGGAGGUCAGCCAUCCUAAUAUUACUCUCGCCCAAGCACGCUUAACUGUAGAGUUCUGAUGGGAUCCGGUGCAUUAGUGCUGGUAUGAUCGCAUCUGUUACUACAUGCAAUGCAAUCGUAUCUAUUCUUUUUUUAAGACUUUAUGAUCCAUUUACCGUGGGUCCCACCAGCUACGUAGGAAUAACCUAUCUUAUUUAUAAGAGCUUUGAUACAUGCAAAAUAUUCGAAAACAAUGUCCGAACAUAUAAUUUUCGUCCCGUAAUAUAGCAAAGAUCACAAAAAGGCCAGAAAGAGUACAUUAAGGUCAAAAUUUUGGAGUAGAAAAAAAAACCCUUCCUCAUUCAUUAAAGAGCUCUCUUUGGCAUUUCCGAAAAGGUGUCACAUGCCAAGUUCGGCCUCACGGUCUAAAAGUUAUAGAGUCAUACAUUGUUAACAAAAAAAAAGAGAAAAACCGAUUAAAAGAGUUAUGCAACACAAGGACUUUCCUGGAGGUCACCCGUCCUAGUACUACUCUCGCCCAAGCACGCUUAAAUGCGGAGUUCUGAUGGGAUCCGGUCCAUGAGU